UACGUAGGGCGCGAGCGUUGUCCGGAAUUAUUGGGCGUAAAGAGCUCGUAGGCGGCUUGUUGCGUCUGCUGUGAAAUCCCGGGGCUUAACCCCGGGCGUGCAGUGGAUACGGGCAGGCUGGAGGCAGGCAGGGGAGAAUGGAAUUCCCGGUGUAGCGGUGAAAUGCGCAGAUAUCGGGAGGAACACCGGUGGCGAAGGCGGUUCUCUGGGCCUGUUCUGACGCUGAGGAGCGAAAGCGUGGGGAGCAAACAGG
rnacentral:rRNA from 1 species